CUCCUACGGGGGGCAGCAGUGGGGAAUAUUGCACAAUGGGGGAAACCCUGAUGCAGCGACGCCGCGUGAGUGAAGAAGUAUCUCGGUAUGUAAAGCUCUAUCAGCAGGAAAGAUAAUGACGGUACCUGACUAAGAAGCCCCGGCUAACUACGUGCCAGCAGCCGCGGUAAUACGUAGGGGGCAAGCGUUAUCCGGAUUUACUGGGUGUAAAGGGAGCGUAGACGGCAGCGCAAGUCUGGAGUGAAAUGC
rnacentral:rRNA from 1 species